AUGUGGCUGGCUGUGCAAUACCGAUUGUGGACGUCGGAUAGAAGGGCGAGACACGGUUUGCAAGACCAAACAUCAAAAUGCUACUUCUAUGAUCAAGAGGAAGACACGAUCGACCACAUCUUGCAGCAAUGUGUGUUUUCAAGGCAAGUGUGGUACAAAUGCAUGACCAGGAUGGGAUUGAGGAUGGAGUUUUGCCCAACAUACGAGUCUCGCUUGGUGCAAUGGUGGACGGAAGCUAGGAAACGCAUACAUAAGCAAACUCGGAAAGGAUUUGACACAUUCGUGAUGCUCAUCUGCUGGACACUUUGGAAGCAGAGGAAUGCGAAAGUAUUCGGAUCGAGUCAAAUCAAGAAUGAAUGGGAGACUGUGGACUUGAUCUUCGACGAUUUGAGGACCUGGGCUACUGCAGGAGCAUUUGGAGGAUGA
rnacentral:rRNA from 1 species